rnacentral:SRP_RNA from 1 species
GCAACAAGACGUUGCUCAACCCCGCCAGGUCCGGAAGGAAGCAACGGUCGGCAAAGAGUUUUGUGUGACGCAGGGUCGCUUGACCUC